UAAAAAUUAGUUAAUUUAUAACAUAAGUUUGUCAAGCUUAAGUAAUUCUCCUGGAAUAUUUUUAA
rnacentral:tRNA from 1 species